UGUUAUGUCAUGUUAUCGACAUGUGAAUUCAUAGCAUGUCAGAAGGCAGACCCGGAGAACUGAAACAUCUUAGUACCCGGAGGAAGAGAAAGAAAAAUCGAUUCCCUGAGUAGCGGCGAGCGAAACGGGAAGAGCCCAAACCAACAAGCUUGCUUGUUGGGGUUGUAGGACACUCUAUACGGAGUUACAAAAGAACAUGUUAGACGAAUCAUCUGGAAAGAUGAAUCAAAGAAGGUAAUAAUCCUGUAGUCGA
rnacentral:rRNA from 1 species